AAUGAACCAAUUAGUUCUUCAAGUGGAAAUUGGUUCAAGUUUUUCGAUUCUUGAAUAGCAGUUACUUUUGAAUCCCAAGUUUUAGAAAGUGAGCGCAAAACUUUGUUAACGAGUUCAAAAUCCGAAAAGCUUUUACCAAGUGAUUUUAAACCAUUGACGACAUCCGUAAAACGGGUGUACAUGUCAACAACGGUUUCGCUUGGUUUUAUAUGAAAAAGUUCAAAAUCGUGCAUCAAAAAAUUUACUUUAGAAUCUUUUACACUACUUGUGCCUUUGUGUGUGAUUUCAAGAGUGCACCAAAUAUCGAAAGCCG
rnacentral:lncRNA from 1 species